AUUGAACGCUGGCGGCAUGCCUAACACAUGCAAGUCGAACGGCAGCACAGCAGUAGCAAUACUGUGGGUGGCGAGUGGCGGACGGGUGAGUAUCACGUGGGUAAUCUUCCUUUAAGUGGGGAAUAAGCUCUCGAAAGGGAGUCUAAUACCGCAUGACAUUCCGGGACACAAGUCCCGUAAUCAAAGCCGCAAGGCGCUUGAAGAUGAGCCUGCGUCCUAUUAGCUAGUUGGUGGGGUAACGGCCUACCAAGGCUCAGAUGGGUAGCCGGCCUGAGAGGUUGAACGGCCACAUUGGGACUGAGACACGGCCCAGACUCCUACGGGAGGCAGCAGUGGGGGAUAUUGCACAAUGGGCGAAAGCCUGAUGCAGCAACGCCGCGUGAGGGAAGACGGUUUUCGGAUUGUAAACCUCUGUCCUUGGUGAAGAACAAAUGACGGUAGCCGAGGAGGAAGCCACGGCUAACUACGUGCCAGCAGCCGCGGUAAU
rnacentral:rRNA from 1 species